rnacentral:lncRNA from 1 species
ACCAAAAAACUAGGGUGAUCUCAGGUGCUCCGGAAGGGUAAGCAGAUCCUGCUCCACAUGUGGCACCCGUCGUGUUGCUUAUGUGAUAACCAAUCCGGUAAAUAGUCUAAUUCGGUUUGUCACAUUCAUGAAAGGGAAGGGGAUUGUAGUUACGACGUAAGGAACAUAUCCGAUAUCAUUUAUGAAACGGUUAUUCCAUAACGGUCAACCAACUCGUGAUGGCGUCCGU